UUAAUCGAAAAUUUUACUUUUAUUCCAAUAAACUUUCUUAUUGAUCUGAAAGAGCGGCAUCAUUGUUUAAUAAGGAGUGGGGGAGCCCUUGACUUGUUUCACGCUAAAAAGAGCCAAAGAAAAUCGCCAGCCACCGCGGCCAUCUGGUCAUCUCAUGUGAUAACUUCGAUUACUCGCGGAAGUACGUGCCAGUGGUUCAGCCAGUCGACUUUCCGAUCGCGUUAGUGUACGUACACGUGGUAGUUCAUGCCGAUAAAAUCUGCACCUAGGAAGAUUUUCCUGAGGGAGAAGAAUCAUGGGAGUCUACCUCUGUUGCAUCAACACCCUAAAGCAUUAUUUUCACCCCUGAUGAGGAGUUGACCUCGAUUAUUAACGAGGUUGCAGAACGGCAUGCUAGAAAAAGAGCUGUCGGUUGUUUUUGAAGAACAUCAUGAAUCACAGCAGAGAAUUACUUAUGUUAAACAAAAAACUUUUUACUAUUAAUCUAUUGGGCCUACAAAGUACAAAGAUUCUUGGUAUAAUUCUCUUGGAGAAUAAUACUACAAACAAAAAACUAGAUCCUAGACCCCAGACGAUUUUUAGUUAGAACAGUAAUUACUUUCACAAUAUAAAGAAUUGAACUCUGAUACACUCUCUAUAAAGAGCGGCAAAGUAAAUUGUUACGGUAAAUUCCAACAGUGCAGAAAGACACAUAUUUCAUAUGAAAUCACCAAAGGCCCAAAUCGUCCGAAAAAAAAUCCAAGCGAAAAAUUCUCUGCCGAAUACUGUAAUUCAAUAAAUCAAUGUUUUAAACAAUCAGAAAGUGAGAAAGAGGUGAAAGAAUCAAGACAAGAAGAUGAUCAAGCAGAGGAUAGGAGUUUAAUUUAUUGAAAAAUCUUGUGGAAACGCAAGGAAGAGUCUGGGAAUCAUAGGAAGAUUAUAAAGAAACGUAUGAGUUGCGAAAAAAGAAAUUCGAAAACUGUUCACCCCAAUGAAAUUUUUGAACUAGUUGCUUCAUUCAAAACACAACUUGGCCAGUGUUGAUUAAUACCGACUUCAAUCCUGCAUAUCCUUAGGAGGAAGAUAUUAUAUAGAAAAAUUUUCCAGCCAUUCUGCUGCUUUAUUGGAGGAAGAUAAAGAUAGAAAAGUAGAUGUUGUUAGAUGUAGAGGUACCUAUUAAUUGGUAAGUCCAUUAUUAUUAUACAUAUUAUACAAGGAGAGCAAAAUAUCAAACUUUUAUGGAAUUAGUUUCUGAAACCUGAAACUAAGGAUUUCCACUCCCUUCGGUCAAUUUCUGAUGUUAUUACCACUAACUUUCAAUUCAAGUUCAGUCUCAUACUCGUGUUGUGAUCUCAAUAUCUUGGAAACGAGAAAAAGAGAACACUGCAUCUCGAUAUAGCUCAGUCUGUUAUGCUAGGCAUGCUGAUUGGCUCUUUGGCUUUGUGGGUAAAAUUCUUUACUCUUGAAUGUUUAGACACAAGACUUAAGCAUUUUAAUUUCGAUCCUGAUGUAUCUAAUAAACCACCGAUUAUUAUUAUGCAGCAAUAUACGAAUGUCAGCAUCUGAAAUGAAGUGUUUCCUCAUCAGGGCUGCAGGUUUUCUUAUCGGUGACAUGAUUCCCCUCAACGAUAACUAAUGGAAACUUUACAUUUUACUUCGAAAAAUACUUUUUAUUGUCGAUGCUUCUGAAAUAACACCGAAUAAUAUAUAAUAAAAGAAUUGGAAAUAUUAGUUGAAAAACAUAAUCAAAAAUUCAUAUCAUUAUUUCUGAAUUUCUCACUCCAAAACUUCACCUUCUUCAUCAAUAUCCUUAUACUAUAUGCUAUGUAUUUAUUAUCUAUGAGAUAUGAGGCAAAGGAUAGUCAAUCGAAAACUAAGCACCUGCCGUGUUAACACACCUAAAUCUGUUUCUAUUCGGUAUCAACUAAAAAUGAGAGAGAUUUUUUAAAAGCCGAGGAGAUGAUUCAGAAGUCGAAAUUUUUGUUGACGAAUGUGACGAGUUGAAUAUUUCCUCAGAUUUACCCAUUUUGCUGAAGCUCUUCCCUGAAUUCAAGGAUAAGAUUCACAUGUUGAAAAGAGUAAAAAUAUGGGUAAUACUUAUUUCAUAUAUAAAGUGAAUUCUAUAAGUAAGAUCAAUAUUCUGUAUGUAUAAUAUCAUAUUAGGAUCUAUUGAUUACAUACUUUUGAAUAAAGAGAAAGAUGGUGUACCUGCAUGCUUUUUGUUUAUGACGAAAAUCGACCUCUUCGAUUCAGCGAACAUUUAUUUUCUCAUGAAGUAAAAAUCAUUAGUACGAGACAUCAGAGAAGUUACCAAAAAAUUAAAUAUUUCAUGAUAUUCAAAAACGGACUUUGAAAAAUGAUCUCGGAUUUCUUGGAACUGUGCUAGAGUUCAAAAUAUGCGAAGCAUUUGAUGUUAAUUGAUUGAUUUUUAUUUUUUUUUAUUUAUUCAGAGUUUGGAAUGCAAACAGGAAAUUUCUCAGAAUAGUAUCCUCGAUUACAAUUAGGUCUACACCGUUUUAAU